rnacentral:rRNA from 1 species
CCUACGGGAGGCAGCAGUGAGGAAUAUUGGUCAAUGGGCGGAAGCCUGAACCAGCCAAGUCGCGUGAGGGAUUAAGGCCCUGCGGGUCGUAAACCUCUUUUAUAAGGGAAUAAAGUGUGGGACGUGUCCUGUUUUGUAUGUACCUUAUGAAUAAGGAUCGGCUAACUCCGUGCCAGCAGCCGCGGUAAUACGGAGGAUCCGAGCGUUAUCCGGAUUUAUUGGGUUUAAAGGGUGCGUAGGCGGCCUUUUAAGUCAGCGGUGAAAGUCUGUGGCUCAACCAUAGAAUUGCCGUUGAAACUGGGAGGCUUGAGUAUGUUUGAGGCAGGCGGAAUGCGUGGUGUAGCGGUGAAAUGCUUAGAUAUCACGCAGAACCCCGAUUGCGAAGGCAGCCUGCCAAGCCAUGACUGACGCUGAUGCACGAAAGCGUGGGGAUCAAACAGGAUUAGAUACCCCUGUAGUC